UACGUAGGCAGCGAGCGUUGUUCGGAGUUACUGGGCGUAAAGAGUGCGUAGGCGGCUCUCCAAGUUUGGUGUGAAAUCUCCCGGCUUAACCGGGAGGGUGCGCCGAAAACUGGAGGGCUCGAGUGUGGGAGAGGCAAGCGGAAUUCCUGGUGUAGCGGUGAAAUGCGUAGAUAUCAGGAGGAACACCGGUGGUGUAGACGGCUUGCUGGACCACUACUGACGCUGAGGCACGAAAGCGUGGGUAGCAAACAGG
rnacentral:rRNA from 1 species